ACGUGAUCGCGGUGGGGGCGGGACCCAAUAUAAGCAUCGCGCGGGCGGUGCCUCGGCCGCAUUUUGAGUACUUCCAGCUCGGAGGACCUCUUGUUGUCACCAUUAUGUCUUCUGAAGAAGGAAAACUAUUUGUUGGGGGGCUAAACUUUGAUACUGAUGAACAAGGCCUCGAACAGCAUUUCAGCUCUUUUGGUCCUAUUUCUGAAGUGGUUGUGAUCAAAGACAAAGAAACACAGAGAUCAAGAGGCUUUGGUUUUAUCACCUUUGCCAAUCCUGAACAUGCAUCAGAUGCCAUGAGAGCAAUGAAUGGAGAGUCUAUAGAUGGGCGCCAGAUCAGAGUUGAUCAUGCUGGGAAAUCUUCUCGUGGAUCCAGAGGUGGCUACUUUGGAGGCAGGGGACGAGGUCGUGGCUAUUCCCGAGGUGGUGGAGACAGAAGCUAUGGUGGAGACAGAAGCUAUGGUGGAGACAGAAGUUACGGUGGCCGUUAUGACAACCGAAGUGGAGGCUACAGUAGUUCCCGGGACUAUGGCAGAAGUCAGGGAGGCUAUAAUGAUCGGUACUCCUCAGGAGGUUCUUACAGAGACAACUAUGACAACUGAGGUGAGAAGAUUAUAGUGGCUAUUCUACCCUAAAAUAGUAAUCAUUGGCCACUGAUGUAUUGAAGGACGAGACUGCUGCUUCACCUGGUGAAUCACACUAUAAAGACUUUCUGUAUCUGCUGGAAUAGUGUGACACUGAACCAGAGGAAGAUGGGAGGCAAGAUCAUCUGUCCAGUCAGAUUGCCGGCAUUGUUGGAAUUCACACCUGUCAGGAUUGUUGUAACAGGUGUCAUCAUACCAGAGCAAGAGGACUUGCCACUAGGUUGUAUUAGAUUGCUGAAAAUACAUGUUUCCACCAGGACUUUUUCCUAACUAGCAAACAUAGUUUUAUCUAAUAAUCCACAUAGAAUUGGAAAACAUCUUAACACCUUACUGAACUUGUAUACUGGUGGAUAAUUACUCCUGUGCUGUAUUGAUUUUGGAAGCUGGGGAAAUGGUACAAAAAGUGUCUACCUUGGAUGUUCAUAUCUGCAGUAAAGUUGUGCAAUGCUUGGCCUGAAAAUUACUAUGAAGAAUGUCAGAUCAGAGUAAUAGAAUCCUCAAUGCUUGUAUUUAGAUCUUCCACUACUGCUAUACAGUAAGUUUAACAACAACAACAAAAGUAUGUUCUCUGUGCCCUAAAGCAUUUUUGGUUUCCAAAACUGUCAACAUGGCAGAGUUUCUAAUAAAAGUGUACUGAUUGAACAGUU